AUCGGGUUGCACAAUCCCUGAGGGGUUGGACUGUCUUAGCCUAGCUCUAGAGCAUCAGGUCCUAAGUGGAGUGCGAAGUUACGUCAGGACAUUUUAAACCGGAGGCAAACUCCAGUGUCGCCUGCACAAACGUAAUCAGCCCAUUCCCCCGAAAUUUUGGAGUUUAACACGUCUCUCGAGAUCAGAGUGAAACGAAGUUUCAGUCCCUUUGAGAUCUCUGAGCGCACAACGUCCGACUGCUAUCAUUUCAAGGCGCUAAAGAGUGCGAACCAAGCUAGGGAAAAACUAUUUGGUGCGGAAAUUCGUGUCUUUUCCGCCCACCAUUGGGGGCCGCACCGGCCGGGUCCCGAGCGAUGCCCUGGCGUGGAGUUUGGGGGCGCAACGGGGCCCGGCGGGGGCGGCGAGCGCGCGUUCCCCCGCCCGCUCGGGCGGCGUCGAGGCGCGAGCAGCUCAGCCAGCCUUGCAGAGGGAGCUCUCGGCAGUUCAGGGGUCCCUCUGCUCGCAGCCACACCAGCGCCGCCUGCGCCACUCGGCGGUGACGGAGACCAGCAGCGGCGAUGAUCGGACUCGGAGAAACUACGGAGCACCCCAGCCGCUGGAGAAGCACUCGGGGCGGCCGGCUUUGAAUACAUGAGAAAGAAGAGUGAGAAACAAGAAGAAAAGACGAGGUUGGAAGAGGGCAAGAGGAAAGAGGCGGAUGGAAGGGAACUCCUGCAGCCACCAACACAGUAAAUUGUAUCCUGAACCACCUCA